UCAGUUGGUAGAGCGGAGGACUGUA
rnacentral:piRNA from 3 species